UACGGGGGGAGCAAGCGUUGUUCGGAUUUACUGGCGUAAAGGGCGCGUAGGCGGUCGUGACAAGUCACUUGUGAAAUCUCCGGGCUUAACUCGGAACGGUCAAGUGAUACUGUCGGACUAGAGUACAGAAGGGGCAACUGGAAUUCUCGGUGUAGCGGUGAAAUGCGUAGAUAUCGAGAGGAACACCUGCGGUGAAGGCGGGUUGCUGGGCUGAUACUGACGCUGAGGAGCGAAAGCGUGGGGAGCGAACAGG
rnacentral:rRNA from 1 species